AUGAAGCUGAGCAGCCUGUCUCUACUCUCUGUGACUGUCCUCCUUGGCCUCCGCAUGGUUCAGCCUGGAAUCCUGAAGAGUGUCUGCACCGAAACCUGGAUAUUGCCCAGAGUUUACUCUAUCCUGCCCUUUCACCCUCUUACCUGUGUGCUGGCACGAUAAAGCCUGCAUGGGGGUCGAGAAGUAUUGCUUCUUCAACUGUCAACAUCAGUGUACAGAGCCCUGGUGGACUUUGGAUUGA
rnacentral:sRNA from 1 species